GGGCCUCUAGCUCAACUGGCAGAGCAGCGGACUUUUAAUCCGCGGGUUGUGGGUUCGAGUCCCACGGGGCCUACAA
rnacentral:tRNA from 1 species